AGUUUGCACUUUCUGUCAGCCCUGCGCUCCAGAGGGAGGAGAAGGAGAGAGAAAGAGAGAGGGGAGAGAGAAUCAAGGGGCCAUCUGUUUUGUCCCUAUCCUACACUUUUAAAAAGUGUUGUCUCCCCUUUGAGCAGACAGGAUGGAGAACGCACACACCAAAGAAACAGCAGAAUGCCUGGCCUACUUCAGCGUGAGCGAGACCACAGGCCUCGCUCCGGAUCAGGUCAAGAAAAACCAAGACAAGUAUGGAUUCAACGAGCUGCCUGCUGAAGAAGGUAAGAGCAUCUGGGAGCUGGUGGUUGAGCAGUUUGAAGAUCUCUUGGUCAGGAUCCUGCUGUUGGCUGCUUGCAUCUCUUUUGUACUGGCCUGGUUUGAGGAAGGCGAGGAAACUGUCACUGCCUUUGUCGAGCCAUUUGUCAUCCUUCUCAUCCUUAUUGCUAAUGCUGUCGUUGGAGUAUGGCAGGAGCGCAAUGCGGAGAGCGCCAUCGAGGCUCUGAAGGAGUAUGAGCCAGAGAUGGGUAAAGUCUACCGUGCUGACAGAAAGAGCGUACAGAGGAUCAAAGCCAGAGAGAUUGUUCCUGGAGACAUUGUGGAAGUGUCAGUUGGUGACAAAGUCCCUGCUGAUAUCCGAAUCACCGCCAUCCGCUCCACAACUCUGCGUGUGGACCAGUCUAUCCUCACUGGUGAGUCCGUCAGUGUGAUUAAACACACAGAGUCUGUUCCUGACCCCAGGGCUGUCAACCAGGACAAGAAGAACAUGCUUUUCUCUGGCACUAACAUCGCUUCUGGCAAGGCUAUCGGAGUUGUGGUUGCCACCGCCGUCUCCACUGAGAUCGGUAAAAUCCGUGACCAGAUGGCUGCCACUGAGCAAGAGAAGACCCCCUUGCAGCAGAAGCUGGAUGAGUUCAGUGAGCAGCUCUCCAAAGUCAUUUCCCUCAUCUGUGUGGCUGUCUGGCUCAUCAACAUUGGCCACUUUAACGACCCCGUCCACGGUGGCUCCUGGAUCCGUGGUGCUGUCUACUACUUCAAGAUCGCUGUGGCUCUUGCUGUAGCUGCCAUCCCUGAAGGUCUGCCUGCUGUCAUCACUACCUGCUUGGCUUUGGGAACCCGCCGUAUGGCUAAGAAGAACGCCAUCGUCCGUUCUCUUCCCUCUGUAGAGACUCUGGGCUGCACAUCCGUCAUUUGCUCAGACAAGACCGGCACCCUCACCACCAAUCAGAUGUGUGUUACAAAGAUGUUCGUCAUUGAGAAGGUGGACGGAGACUCUGUGACUCUUGACCAGUAUGACAUUUCUGGAUCCAAGUACACGCCAGAGGGAGAAGUUACUAAGGGUGGACUUCCUGUCAAGUGUGGUCAGUAUGAUGGCCUUGUUGAGCUGGCAACCAUCUGCGCCUUGUGCAAUGACUCCUCUCUGGACUACAAUGAGUCGAAAGGAAUCUAUGAGAAAGUGGGUGAAGCUACAGAGACCGCCCUGUGCUGCCUGGUUGAAAAGAUGAACGUGUUCAACACUGAUGUCCGUGGUCUGUCCAAGGUGGAGAGAGCCAACACAUGCUGCACUGUGGUCAAGCAGCUUAUGAAGAAGGAAUUUACUCUUGAGUUCUCCCGUGACAGGAAGUCCAUGUCCGUCUAUUGCUCCCCUGCAAAGGCCUCCAAGGCCCCUGUUGGAAACAAGAUGUUUGUCAAGGGUGCUCCUGAGGGUGUGAUUGACAGAUGUAACUAUGUGCGUGUUGGAACCAUCCGUGUGCCCUUGACUGGUCCAGUUAAGGAUAAGAUCAUGGCUGUGAUCAAGGAAUGGGGAACUGGCCGUGAUACCCUGCGCUGCCUGGCACUGGCAACCCGUGACAACCCUCUGAGAAAGGAGGAGAUGAACCUGGAGGACUCCACCAAGUUUGCUGAAUAUGAGACUGAUCUCACCUUCGUGGGUUGCGUUGGUAUGCUGGAUCCUCCUCGUAAAGAGGUUGUUGGAUCCAUUGAGCUGUGCAGGGCUGCUGGUAUCCGUGUGAUCAUGAUCACAGGUGAUAACAAAGGUACCGCUGUGGCUAUCUGCCGCCGUAUUGGCAUCUUCAGUGAUGAUGAGGAUGUGACAGGCCGUGCUCUCACUGGCCGUGAGUUUGAUGACCUGCCACUGGCCCAGCAGAGAGAGGCUGUGCGUAAGGCCUGCUGUUACGCUCGUGUUGAGCCCUCCCACAAGAGCAAGAUCGUUGAGUUCCUUCAGGGUUUUGAUGAGAUCACUGCCAUGACUGGUGAUGGUGUGAAUGAUGCUCCUGCCCUGAAGAAGGCAGAGAUUGGCAUUGCCAUGGGCUCUGGCACUGCUGUUGCCAAGUCAGCCUCUGAGAUGGUCCUGGCCGAUGACAACUUCUCCAGCAUCGUGGCUGCCGUUGAGGAGGGCAGAGCCAUUUACAACAACAUGAAGCAGUUCAUCCGCUACCUCAUCUCCUCCAACGUCGGAGAGGUCGUGUGUAUCUUCCUGACUGCUGCUCUUGGUCUUCCUGAGGCUCUGAUCCCAGUUCAGCUUCUGUGGGUGAACCUGGUGACUGACGGUCUUCCUGCCACUGCUCUGGGAUUCAACCCCCCCGAUUUGGACAUCAUGGGCAAGGCUCCCCGCUCCCCCAAAGAGCCCCUCAUCUCUGGCUGGCUCUUCUUCAGAUACCUGGCCAUUGGAGGUUAUGUUGGUGCUGCAACUGUCGCUGCUGCUGGCUGGUGGUUCCUUUACUGCGAAGAUGGCCCCAUGGUCUCUUUCUACCAGCUGUCCCACUUCAUGCAGUGCACUGCUGAGAAUGAGGACUUUGCUGGCAUUGAAUGUGAGGUGUUCGAGGCUGCUCCUCCCAUGACAAUGGCUCUGUCUGUCCUGGUCACCAUUGAGAUGUGCAACGCUCUGAACAGCUUAUCUGAGAAUCAGUCUCUGCUGCGUAUGCCUCCGUGGAGCAAUGUGUGGUUGGUGGGAGCCAUGAGUCUCUCUAUGUCUCUUCACUUCAUGAUCAUCUAUGUGGACCCUCUGCCCAUGAUCUUCAAGCUAACCCAUCUCGGCUUGGACCAGUGGAUCGUUGUUCUGAAGCUUUCCUUCCCUGUCAUCCUUAUUGACGAGCUGCUUAAGUUUGUUGCCCGUAACUACUUGGAGCCCUAAUCCUGUCCCCCUCCAUAUUCCUGUAACAAAGCAAGGUAUCCCACAAUCCUCUCUGUCCGUGCCUGCCUGCCUGUAUCCCUGUGUCUGUUUGUAGAAAGAUGAGAAUCUAGUGUCCAAAAAGUGGGACUGAAAAAGCGAAGAAGAAAUUAGCAAAACAGCACUCCAAAGCAGAAAAAUGAAGUUUGCCAGGAGUGAAAACGAAAACCACUGUGAACCAGUGAAUCCAUCAUGGAUUUAUCAUCCAUAAAAUCUAAAACCUUAUAGAACAAAGGAAAAAAAUAUUUAAGUUAAAUGUGUUAUGUAUAUGUAUUAAGACUUAAUUUAAUAUAUAUAUUGUUAUGAACGGUAUAUUCUAAUGAAAACGCUAUUCUUAAAAUAAAGAUGUGUAUAAAAAACAUGCGUGAUCUGUUACUGUCUUUUAGUUUAACCUUUAUUUUUCAUACAUAUGUAAUGCACUCAAGAUUUGUUACUAACAUUGUGCUACAUAUAUAUGAAUUAACAUUUAUUAGCCCCAUUCAAACAGAUUUAGUGUUUUAUCAACUUUUUAACAUACCAUUGAUCUUCCACUGUUCAUUGGCUCAGGCACCAGAUGCUUCAUAAUGAAAUGAUGGCUCUUUCCAGUAAAGGGACUUUGGCCUUAAAUUGAAUGCAAAAAUAAUUAUAGUAGGGUAGGUAGUAUUAUAGCAGGGGGCAACUGUCUUUUCAGCAUAAGUUCUCUAUCUGUCUGAGAACAGUAAGUAUGAAUAUUUCACUUUGAAAUAAAGUUUCAACAAAAACCAUUUGAGGUACAAAAAUAUUUUAGGGGGUAAUAUUUUCUAAUGCAUUUAAUUUAAAGUAAUAUUUAUUUGAUCUCUUGGUUUUUGGCUUUAAGUUAACAUAAAAGGAGUAUGCUAACACUGUUGCUGGUGGAUAUCAUAAAAGAUUUCAUCAUGGCUGUGAAACUGGGGGCAAUUGUAACGCUACUUAUGAAUACAAAUGGUAUGAAUUGAAAGAUUUAAUCUUUAAAACAAUAAUAUAUUGUAAAACUAGCAUUUAGUCAACAGCUAAUUACACUUCGCUUAUUAAAAUAGGUUGCAUCUCAUUUAAAAAAAAUAUUAUGUAUUUAAUGUAUUAAGACAUUAAGACAGCUAA